CAAUAGCGUAUAUUAAAGUUGUUGCAGUUAAAAAGCUCGUAGUUGGAUUUCUGGUUGAAGCGACCGGUCGGGCGUUGAUUCGUCUGCACUGGAGUCGGUUUUGGCCAUCCUCUAGGAAAGUGCGUCUGGUAUUAAGUUAUCGGGCGUAUGAUCCUGGUCUUUUACUGUGAAAAAAUUAGAGUGUUUAAAGCAGGCCUUCGCCUUGAAUACAUUAGCAUGGAAUAAUAAGAUAGGACUUUGGUCUAUUUUGUUGGUUUGCAGACCGAAGUAAUGAUUAUAGGGAUAGUUGGGGGUAUUUAUAUUCCGAUGUCAGAGGUGAAAUUCUUAGAUUUUCGGAAGAUAAACUUAUGCGAAAGCAUUUACCAAGGAUGUUUUCAUUAA
rnacentral:rRNA from 1 species